rfam:Aedes albopictus isolate Foshan contig28155, whole genome shotgun sequence.
UAGCCUAGUGAUUAAGGCUAUGGAUCGCCAAUCCGGAGAUGGCGGGUUCGAUUCCCGU